rnacentral:rRNA from 1 species
UCAGUCGACUCCUACGGGAGGCAGCAGUGGGGAAUCUUAGACAAUAGGGCGCAAGCCUGAUCUAGCCAUGCCGCGUGAGUGAUGAAGGCCUUAGGGUCGUAAAGCUCUUUCGCCAGAGAUGAUAAUGACAGUAUCUGGUAAACGAAACCCGGACUAACUCCGUGCCAGCAGCCGCGGUAAUACGGAGGGGUUAGCGUUGUUCGGAAUUACUGGGCGUAAAGCGCGCGUAGGCGGAUCAGAAAGUUGGGGUGGAAAUCCCGGGGCUCAACCUCGGAACUGCCUUCAAACUACCUAGUCUAGAGUUCGAGAGAGGUGAGUGGAACUCCGAGUGUAGAGGUGAAAUUCGUAGAUAUUCGGAAGAACACCAGUGGCGAAGGCGGCUCACUGGCUCGAUACUGACGCUGAGGUGACGAAAGUGUGGGGAGCAAACAGGAUUAGAUACCCUGGUAG